rnacentral:rRNA from 1 species
CCUACGGGGGGCAGCAGUGGGGAAUAUUGGACAAUGGGCGCAAGCCUGAUCCAGCAAUGCCGCGUGUGUGAAGAAGGCCUGCGGGUUGUAAAGCACUUUAAGCAGGAAAGAAGGGGUGAAAGUUAAUACCUUUCAUCAUUGACGUUACCUGCAGAAUAAGCACCGGCUAACUCCGUGCCAGCAGACGCGGUAAUACGGAGGGUGCGAGCGUUGAGCGGAAUUACUGGGGGUGGUUUGCUCGGAGGGUCGUGAAAGCCCUGGGCUUAACCUGGGAACUGCGGUGGAUACUGUCGGGCUAGAGUGUGGUAGAGGGGAGUGGAAUUUCCGGUGUAGCAGUGAAAUGCGUAGAGAUCGGAAGGAACACCAGUGGCGAAGGCGGCUCCCUGGACUAACACUGACGCUGAGGUGCGAAAGCGUGGGGAGCAAACAGGAUUAGAUACCCCUGUAGUC